ACCAUGUCCCCGCAAGCUUUUUAAUAUAAGCACUGCCUUUUCAUAGAAAUUGGUGACCCCAUCCACCUCUAGUGACAGUCACUCAAAUGGCCACUAGAGGUGCUUCCUGGGUCAGUGCAGCACAAUAUGCAUCACAGACUUUCAGCGUCUUAAUGCUCUGCAUGGAGGCGCUAAUCAUUCCUGAGAGAGAUGCAUUAAUUCAACGGAGGCCAGGGGACUAAAUGGUGUUUUUGACGUAUAGUGUAAGGAAUACAUGUUUGUAUUCCUGCCACUAUAGUGUUCCUUUAGCCCCCUAAGGAUGGAGACAAUUGUACACGUUGAUCAAAACCUGGAAUUUGGCUAUAUGACUGUUCAACCAUAAUUCACCUAUUUCAUGC